GACGAACGCUGGCGGCGUGCUUAACACAUGCAAGUCGAACGGAAAGGCCCUGCUUUUGUGGGGUGCUCGAGUGGCGAACGGGUGAGUAACACGUGAGUAACCUGCCCUUGACUUUGGGAUAACUUCAGGAAACUGGGGCUAAUACCGGAUAGGAGCUCCUGCUGCAUGGUGGGGGUUGGAAAGUUUCGGCGGUUGGGGAUGGACUCGCGGCUUAUCAGCUUGUUGGUGGGGUAGUGGCUUACCCAGGCUUUGACGGGUAGCCGGCCUGAGAGGGUGACCGGGCACAUUGGGACUGAGAGACGGCCCAGACGCUUACGGGAGGCAGAGGGGGGGAAUAUGGCACAAGGGGCGGAAGCCUGGGGAAGAAACGCUGCGUGCGUGAUGACGGCCUUCGGGUGGUGAACCGCUUUGGCCUGUGACGAAGCGGGAGUGACGGUAAUGGGUAAAGAAGCACCGGCUAACUACGUG
rnacentral:rRNA from 1 species